rnacentral:rRNA from 1 species
GAUGAACGCUGGCGGCGUGCCUAAUACAUGCAAGUCGAGCGAACGGACGAGAAGCUUGCUUCUCUGAUGUUAGCGGCGGACGGGUGAGUAACACGUGGAUAACCUACCUAUAAGAUUGGGAUAACUUCGGGAAACCGGAGCUAAUACCGGAUAAUAUUUUGAACCGCAUGGUUCAAAAGUGAAAGACGGUCUUGCUGUCACUUAUAGAUGGAUCCGCGCUGCAUUAGCUAGUUGGUAAGGUAACGGCUUACCAAGGCAACGAUGCAUAGCCGACCUGAGAGGGUGAUCGGCCACACUGGAACUGAGACACGGUCCAGACUCCUACGGGAGGCAGCAGUAGGGAAUCUUCCGCAAUGGGCGAAAGCCUGACGGAGCAACGCCGCGUGAGUGAUGAAGGUCUUCGGAUCGUAAAACUCUGUUAUUAGGGAAGAACAUAUGUGUAAGUAACUGUGCACAUCUUGACGGUACCUAAUCAGAAAGCCACGGCUAACUACGU